rnacentral:rRNA from 1 species
AGAGUUUGAUUCUGGCUCAGAUUGAACGCUGGCGGCGUGCUUAACACAUGCAAGUCGAACGUGAAAGUCCUUCGGGACGAGUAAAGUGGCGCACGGGUGAGUAACGCGUGGAUAAUCUACCCUUAAGAUGGGGAUAACGGCUGGAAACGGUCGCUAAUACCGAAUACGCUCCCGAUUUUAUCGUUGGGGGGAAAGAUGGCCUCUGCUUGCAAGCUAUCGCUUAAGGAUGAGUCCGCGUCCCAUUAGCUAGUUGGCGGGGUAACGGCCCACCAAGGCGACGAUGGGUAGCCGGUCUGAGAGGAUGACCGGCCACACUGGAACUGGAACACGGUCCAGACUCCUACGGGAGGCAGCAGUGGGGAAUAUUGCGCAAUGGGCGAAAGCCUGACGCAGCGACGCCGCGUGAGGGAUGAAGGUUCUCGGAUCGUAAACCUCUGUCAGGGGGGAAGAAACCCCCUCGUGUGAAUAAUGCGAGGGCUUGACGGUACCCCCAAAGGAAGCACCGGCUAACUCCGUGCCAGCAGCCGCGGUAAUACGGAGGGUGCAAGCGUUAAUCGGAAUCACUGGGCGUAAAGCGCACGUAGGCGGCUUGGUAAGUCAGGGGUGAAAUCCCACAGCCCAACUGUGGAACUGCCUUUGAUACUGCCAGGCUUGAGUACCGGAGAGGGUGGCGGAAUUCCAGGUGUAGGAGUGAAAUCCGUAGAUAUCUGGAGGAACACCGGUGGCGAAGGCGGCCACCUGGACGGUAACUGACGCUGAGGUGCGAAAGCGUGGGUAGCAAACAGGAUUAGAUACCCUGGUAGUCCACGCUGUAAACGAUGGGUGCUGGGUGCUGGGAUGUAUGUCUCGGUGCCGUAGCUAACGCGAUAAGCA